UUCAUCUAUUUAUGGCACCUAAAGUAAUAAGGGUGACGAAAAUAACGGUAACGUAACAUUUUUAAGUUGUGCUUUCUAAAAAUAAAUUUCAAAAAGUUUAUCAUUUUCCGAGAGAUUGAGUGUAUUACGUGAUCACUUUAACUGUAUUUCAAGAAGAAAACCACUGUCGUUGGUGAGAAGUUGGAAGAUAGAGGAAAAAUUGAAUGUAUAUCUGUACGCAACGGUUAACCAUUGUCAACGAAAACACGAUUCUGAACAAAAUUCGGUCAAUAGAAUCGCUUUGGCAACAAUAUUUAUGUCAUAUUAUGGUA